rnacentral:tRNA from 2 species
UGGUGCGUCCGAGUGGACUCGAACCACCGACCCCCACCAUGUCAAGGUGGUGCUCUAACCAACUGAGCUACGGACGC